rnacentral:rRNA from 1 species
AGCAGCCGCGGUAAUUCCAGCUCCAAUAGCGUAUAUUAAAGUUGUUGCAGUUAAAAAGCUCGUAGUUGAAUUUCGGGGUCAGUAGGUUGGUCAUGCCACUGGUAUGUACUGAUCUUACUGAUUCCUCCUUCCUGAUGAACCGUAAUGCCAUUAAUUUGGUGUUGCGGGGAGACUGGACUGUUACUUUGAAAAAAUUAGAGCGUUUAAAGCAGGCUCACGCUUGAAUACAUUAGCAUGGAAUAAUGAAAUAGGACGUUUGAUUCUAUUUUGUUGGUUUCUAGGAUUGACGUAAUGAUUAAUAGGGAUAGUUGGGGGCAUUAGUAUUCAAUUGUCAGAGGUGAAAUUCUUGGAUUUUAUUGAAGACUAACUACUGCGAAAGCAUUUGCCAAGGAUGUUUUCAUUAAUCAAGAACGAAAGUUAGGGGAUCGAAGACGAUCAGAUACCGUCGUA